GUGUGUCCGUGCUCUUCUCUUGUGUGGAUUAUCUGCUGUGCUCCUUCCUACUCAUCCGGACACACUCCCCUGGUUUUCUCAGCACGUUAUCAUCGGAAGAUGCGCCCGAGUCCCUGGGUCGGAUUCCGUCUGAGUACAGUCUGUCUGUCCUGUUGCUGCUGUGAACUAUAUUCAUUAAACCAUCGUUGCUUGCAUCUUGCAUCCGCCUCUGUAUUGUUACAGAACGAUCUGACCAGACCAUGGAUGCAGCGAGUUCAACGAGUCUGACCGAAUUCAUUUCCCGCAGUAUCACGAGAAUGGAUCAACAAGAGGAGAACAUCUCCAGCACAGGUCGGGCAGUACAAGCCCUUGCGACGCAGGUAUCCCAGCUGACCCAACAAUUGCAACAUCUGAGGGGUUCCGCUGCGCCACCUACACCGGCAGUUCAACCCGCCCCGCCAGAGCCGGAUUCCCAGCUAGAGCCACGGCUACCGACACCAGAGGGUUAUUCAGGCACGCAUUAACCCGCCGGUCACGGUUCCCCCGCCACCACGACUUGUUGAUGGGGAAACCACCUUUUCUGUCAAUCGUAUUUUGGACUCUAGAAGGAGGGGACGCGGAUUCCAGUACCUGGUGGACUGGGAGAGUUACGGCCCGGAGGAGAGAAGUUGGGUGCCUGCUAGGGACAUUCUGGAUCACUCCCUUAUCGAUGAUUUCAAUCGACAGAUCGUUGUUUCUUCCCUGAGGUUGUGUCGUGUGUCCGUGCUCUUCUCUUGUGUGGAUUAUCUGCUGUGCUCCUUCCUACUCAUCCGGACACACUCCCCUGGUUUUCUCAGCACGUUAUCAUCGGGAGAUGCGCCCGAGUCCCUGGGUCGGAUUCCGUCUGAGUACACUCUGUCCUGUUGCUGCUGUGAACUAUAUUCAUUAAACCAUCGUUGCUUGCAACUUGCAUCCGCCUCUGUAUUGUUACAGAUGGGGGGCAAUCAGUUCACAUAUGGUGUCCAAAGCACAGCUGGGGGCAGAGGGUGGUCUAUAGCAGGCUGCAACAGUGAGAGACUUGUUUUUAGAGAGGUGGAUUUUUAAAAGUAGAAGUUCAAAUUGUUUGGGUACAGACCUGGUUAGUAGGACAGAACUCUGCAGGCUAUCUUUGCAGUAGAUUGCAACACCGCCCCCUUUGGCAGUUCUAUCUUGUCUGAAAAUGUUGUAGUUUGGAACUAAAAUUUCAGAAUGUUUGGUAGUCUUCCUAAGCCAGGAUUCAGACACAGCUAGAACAUCCGGGUUGGCAGAGUGUGCUAAAGCAGUGAAUAGAACAAACUUAGGGAGGAUGCUUCUAAUGUUAACAUGCAUGAAACCAAGGCUAUUACGGUUACAGAAGUCGUCAAAAGAGAGCGCCUGGAGAAUAGGAGUGGAGCUAGGCGGGGCUCCGCGUAGGCAGUAAAACGGCUCCGGAUAGGUGACUGCAGCCCAGGAGUGAUUGAUGGAACUCUUCAGCUGGCUAGCUCCGGAAUAAUUGAUGUUUGCUCCGGAAUCGACGAAAGCUUUAACUAGCUUCUGACCUAGUUUCUGAUUAGCUUCUGGAUUAGCUUCUGGCUAGUUUCUGACCUAGCUUCUGAUUAGCUUCUGGAUUAGCUUCUGGCUAACUUCAUGGAGGAUUACAGAUUUGAGGUAAAUAAUACUUUUUUAUAAAUAUAAAUUGGUGAGGCGGGU